rnacentral:lncRNA from 1 species
AUUUGUUGGGUUCCUAGGUAUGGGCCUAAGUAUUGACUUUUGGACAUAUUUUUGGAUUAUCUAAAAGAUUGAGACUUUAUGAUAUGGAAUAGUUUCUUAUGAGUUUUAUUAAUGCUUUAAAGUUAGUUUGGCUAGAUUUGAGCUGUCCGGAGGUCUUUUGACCCGAGAAGUUUAUUUAGGAGAUCGGUAUGUCUUCUUCAAGGUAAGUAUCUUGCCUAACCUUGUGUAGGGUUAUUUACAUUAUGAUUUGAGUCUUCUAUAUUGAUUGUUGUUCGUGUAAUCAAGGUGACGAGUGUGUGCUUAGACUUAUUUGUGUAAAUCUAGCCUUUAGGAUUCUUAAGUACUUGUAUUAACUGAGUAUGAAGUUGUUCUUCAUAUGAUUGAGUUUCCUAUUUACUAGUUUCACAUCUACAUGCUUAAUUGGAAUUAAUUGUUUCAUGAUUUUGUUCUUAUUACCUAUUUAUCUCUUAUUUGACUUAACUAAAGACUUUUACCUCUCAUAUUGUCAUGCCAUCUUUUUAUAACUGCUUGUUUUAUUUGAGAAUCAUGAUUAUCUCUCUUGAAAUUGUUUAGUCCUAAUUGAAGUUGUGUUAUAUUUCCUCUGCCUAGCCGUAAUUGAAAUUGUUGUAUAUUUUCAUAAUUUCCCAACAUUAUAAGAACUUUAGACAUCCUAUAUUUAUUUGACAUGUACUCAUUGGACUCGUGUUAGCUUCCUUGUUGUUGAAUUGUAUAUUGUGGAAUUGUUGCAACAUUUUAGUGUUCCCUUAUUAAGCGGUUCUCUUUACGCCAUAACAAUCUUUAAUGUGGUUAUUCCUUGUAAAUAGUCUCUACCGCUUCUUUAUGAUUUAAAAUUUGGG